CGCCGAUGCCCUCCUUGGGCGUUUCCUCCCUAGACUUGGGCCGCUUGCGGAAACGCGAGCGGCCUCUUUAUUUGGCUGG
rfam:Methylocella silvestris BL2, complete genome.